rnacentral:lncRNA from 1 species
UUGGCUAGGAUUAUCCCUAUGUUUACUUUUCUUUAGGGAGCGAGCCACAAACUAUGUGGAUUCUCUACGGACAUCCUUUUGAACUCUAAAAACCAGGCCUACCAUGAUAUUGUAUGGUAUUGACAACAUCAGAGAUCUGUUUGGGCACAAGGUAUGCUCUCAUUUCUCUCACACGCACGAUUUAGAUCAACUUGCAGUCAUGAUAUUCCCUUUUCAUUCCUAAGCUGAUGAGUGAAUUUGUGUGGCAGGUGGAUCUUGGUCUCAUAAAGAAAACCCCAUUUGUCGUCUUGGGAUAAAGCUAACUGAUUGAAUCAAAUCAUGAUUUUUUUUCCCUCUUCUGUUUGGAGUGAGGGAAUUUUCGGCAUAU